rnacentral:rRNA from 1 species
GAUGAACGCUGGCGGCGUGCCUAAUACAUGCAAGUCGAGCGAACGGACGAGAAGCUUGCUUCUCUGAUGUUAGCGGCGGACGGGUGAGUAACACGUGGAUAACCUACCUAUAAGACUGGGAUAACUUCGGGAAACCGGAGCUAAUACCGGAUGAUAUUUUGAACCGCAUGGUUCAAAAGUGAAAGACGGUCUUGCUGUCACUUAUAGAUGGAUCCGCGCUGCAUUAGCUAGUUGGUAAGGUAACGGCUUACCAAGGCAACGACGCAUAGCCGACCUGAGAGGGUGAUCGGCCACACUGGAACUGAGACACGGUCCAGACUCCUACGGGAGGCAGCAGUAGGGAAUCUUCCGCAAUGGGCGAAAGCCUGACGGAGCAACGCCGCGUGAGUGAUGAAGGUCUUCGGAUCGUAAAACUCUGUUAGUAGGGAAGAACAUAUGUGUAAGUAACUGUGCACAUCUUGACGUUACCUAAUCAGAAAGCCACGGCUAACUACGUG